GAUCUCUGGGCCGAUACUGACGCUGAGGAGCGAAACGGUGGGGAGCGAACAGGAUUAGAUACCCUGGUAGUCCACGCCGUAAACGGUGGGCACUAGGUGUGGGCAACAUUCCACGUUGUCCGUGCCGCAGCUAACGCAUUAAGUUGCCCCGCCUGGGAGUACGGCCGCAAGGCUAAAACUCAAAGGAAUUGACGGGGGCCGCACAAGCGGCGGAGCAUGUGGCUUAAUUCGACGCAACGCGAAGAACCUUACCAAGGCUUGACAUACACCGGAAAGCAUCAGAGAUGGUGCCCCCCUUGUGGUCGGUGUACAGGUGGUGCAUGGCUGUCGUCAGCUCGUGUCGUGAGAUGUUGGGUUAAGUCCCGCAACGAGCGCAACCCUUGUCCCGUGUUGCCAGCAAGCCUUCGGGGUGUUGGGGACUCACGGGAGACCGCCGGGGUCAACUCGGAGGAAGGUGGGGACGACGUCAAGUCAUCAUGCCCCUUAUGUCUUGGGCUGCACACGUGCUACAAUGGCCGGUACAAUGAGCUCGGAUACCGCAAGGUGGAGCGAAUCUCAAAAAGCCGGUCUCAGUUCGGAUUGGGGUCUGCAACUCGACCCCAUGAAGUCGGAGUCGCUAGUAAUCGCAGAUC
rnacentral:rRNA from 1 species